CCUUUGACGUUAGCGGCGGACGGGUGAGUAACACGUGGGUAACCUACCUAUAAGACUGGGAUAACUUCGGGAAACCGGAGCUAAUACCGGAUAACAUUUGGAACCGCAUGGUUCUAAAGUGAAAGAUGGUUUUGCUAUCACUUAUAGAUGGACCCGCGCCGUAUUAGCUAGUUGGUAAGGUAACGGCUUACCAAGGCGACGAUACGUAGCCGACCUGAGAGGGUGAUCGGCCACACUGGAACUGAGACACGGUCCAGACUCCUACGGGAGGCAGCAGUAGGGAAUCUUCCGCAAUGGGCGAAAGCCUGACGGAGCAACGCCGCGUGAGUGAUGAAGGGUUUCGGCUCGUAAAACUCUGUUAUUAGGGAAGAACAAAUGUGUAAGUAACUGUGCACAUCUUGACGGUACCUAAUCAGAAAGCCACGGCUAACUACGUGCCAGCAGCCGCGGUAAUACGUAGGUGGCAAGCGUUAUCCGGAAUUAUUGGGCGUAAAGCGCGCGUAGGCGGUUUCUUAAGUCUGAU
rnacentral:rRNA from 1 species